UUGCUCAGAGACAUGGAGAGGAUUCUCCUACC
rnacentral:sRNA from 1 species